UGUGCUUGGACGAUGGAUAUGUUGUCUUU
rnacentral:piRNA from 1 species